rnacentral:rRNA from 1 species
CCUAAGGGAGGCAGCAGUGGGGAAUAUUGGACAAUGGGCGAAAGCCUGAUCCAGCCAUGCCGCGUGUGUGAAGAAGGCCUUCGGGUUGUAAAGCACUUUCAGUGGGGAAGAAAGCCUUGGGGCUAAUACCCUCGAGGAAGGACAUCACCCACAGAAGAAGCACCGGCUAACUCCGUGCCAGCAGCCGCGGUAAUACGGAGGGUGCGAGCGUUAAUCGGAAUUACUGGGCGUAAAGCGCGCGUAGGCGGUCUGAUAAGCCGGUUGUGAAAGCCCCGGGCUCAACCUGGGAACGGCAUCCGGAACUGUCAGGCUAGAGUGCAGGAGAGGAAGGUAGAAUUCCCGGUGUAGCGGUGAAAUGCGUAGAGAUCGGGAGGAAUACCAGUGGCGAAGGCGGCCUUCUGGACUGACACUGACGCUGAGGUGCGAAAGCGUGGGUAGCAAACAGGAUUAGAUACCCUGGUAGUC